rnacentral:rRNA from 1 species
GACGAAGGGGGCUAGCGUUGUUCGGAAUUACUGGGCGUAAAGCGUGCGCAGGCGGUUCGUUAAGUCAGAUGUGAAAUCCCCGGGCUUAACCUGGGAACUGCAUUUGGGACUGCAAGGCUCGAGUACGGCAGAGGGAGGUGGAAUUCCACGUGUAGCAGUGAAAUGCGUAGAGAUGUGGAGGAACACCGAUGGCGAAGGCAGCCUCCUGGGCCAGUACUGACGCUCAUGCACGAAAGCGUGGGGAGCAAACAGG